rnacentral:rRNA from 1 species
UCUNUGGGCUGUAACUGACGCUGAGAAGCGAAAGCAUGGGGAGCGAACAGGAUUAGAUACCCUGGUAGUCCAUGCCGUAAACGUUGGGCACUAGGUGUGGGGGACAUUCCACGUUUUCCGCGCCGUAGCUAACGCAUUAAGUGCCCCGCCUGGGGAGUACGGCCGCAAGGCUAAAACUCAAAGAAAUUGACGGGGGCCCGCACAAGCGGCGGAGCAUGCGGAUUAAUUCGAUGCAACGCGAAGAACCUUACCAAGGCUUGACAUAUACUGGACUGCGUCAGAGAUGGCGUUUCCCUUCGGGGCUGGUAUACAGGUGGUGCAUGGUUGUCGUCAGCUCGUGUCGUGAGAUGUUGGGUUAAGUCCCGCAACGAGCGCAACCCUCGUUCUAUGUUGCCAGCACGUGAUGGUGGGGACUCAUAGGAGACUGCCGGGGUCAACUCGGAGGAAGGUGGGGAUGACGUCAAAUCAUCAUGCCCCUUAUGUCUUGGGCUUCACGCAUGCUACAAUGGCCGGUACAGAGGGUUGCGAUACUGUGAGGUGGAGCUAAUCCCUAAAAGCCGGUCUCAGUUCGGAUUGGGGUCUGCAACUCGACCCCAUGAAGUCGGAGUCGCUAGUAAUCGCAGAUCAGCAACGCUGCGGUGAAUACGUUCCCGGGCCUUGUACACACCGCCCGUCAAGUCACGAAAGUUGGUAACACCCGAAGC